rnacentral:rRNA from 1 species
UACGUAGGGUGCGAGCGUUGUCCGGAAUUAUUGGGCGUAAAGAGCUUGUAGGCGGUCUGUCGCGUCUGCCGUGAAAUUUCGGGGCUCAACCCCGAACUUGCGGUGGGUACGGGCAGACUAGAGUGUGGUAGGGGAGACUGGAAUUCCUGGUGUAGCGGUGAAAUGCGCAGAUAUCAGGAGGAACACCGAUGGCGAAGGCAGGUCUCUGGGCCACUACUGACGCUGAGAAGCGAAAGCAUGGGGAGCGAACAGGAUUAGAAACCCCAGUAGUCC